GGGGAAAAAUUAAUAAUAAAUUUAAAUAAAAAAAAUUUUUUUAAUAAAAAUAUUUGAAAGGGGUUAAAGUAUUUUUUAAGAAAAAAUUAAAAAAUUUAUAUUAAAAUAGUAUUGUAAAAGAAUUUUGAAAUACAUGAAAAUUAAAUUGGGGGGAAGUAGAUUUAAUUUAUUGUAUCUUGUGUAUCAGAGUUUAUUAAAAAUAUAUUUUAAGUAAAAUUUUCUCGAAUUUUAAAGAGUUAAUUAAUUAUAAAAGUUAAUGUAGUAUAAUUAUUUUAAAUAAUUAAUUGGAAAUGAAAUGUUAAUCGUUUUAAAAGAUAUCUAGUUUUUUUAGAAAUAAAUUUAAUUUAAAAUAUUAAUAAUUAAUUUUUUUUUAAAAAAAAAUUAAUUAUUAAUAUUUAAUAUUUUAAGGGAUAAGCUUUAAAAUAAAAUUUUAUAAUAGUUAAUUUUAUUUUUAUUAAAAUUUUAGAAUUUAAAUUGUUAAAAAAUUUUAGUUUUUUAUAAAAAAUUUAAUUUAAAUAAAAAUUUAAAGUUAAAAUUUAAUUUUUUAUAAAAAAAUAAUUUUUAAUAAAUAAAAAUUAGAUAUAAUGAUAAAAUUAGUAUAUAUAUAUAAAUCAUUUAUUUAUUAAUAAAUAUAUAAAUCAUUUAUUUAUUAAUAAAUAAUUAAAAUUAUAAAUAAAUUUUUAUUAAGGAAUUCGGCAAAUAUUUAUAUUCACUUGUUUAUCAAAAACAUGUCUUUUUGAAAAUAAUAUAAAGUCUCGUCUGCCCACUGAUAAUUAUUAAAGGGCUGCAGUAUAUUGACUGUACAAAGGUAGCAUAAUCAUUUGUCUCUUAAUUGGUGACUUGUAUGAAAGAUUGGAUGAAAUAUAAACUGUCUCAAUAAAAUUUGUAAAAUUUAAUUUUUUAGUAAAAAAGCUAAAAUAAAUUUAAAAGACGAGAAGACCCUAUAGAGUUUAAUAAUUUUUUUAAUAAUAAAUAAAUAUAAAUUUUAAAAUUAUAAUUAAUUAAAUUAUUUUGUUGGGGUGACAAAAAAAUUUAAUUAACUUUUUUUAAAAGAUUCACAUUAAUUUAUGAAAAAAUGAUCCAUUAAUAAUGAUUAAAAGAAAAAAUUACCUUAGGGAUAACAGCGUAAUUUUUUUUUUUAGAUCAAAUAAGAAAAAAAGUUUGCGACCUCGAUGUUGGAUUAAGAUAAAAUUUAAAUGCAAAAGUUUAAGGUUUUGAUCUGUUCGAUCAUUAAAAUCUUACAUGAUCUGAGUUCAGACCGGUGUAAGCCAGGUUGGUUUCUAUCUUUAGAAAAAUAAAAUAUUUUAGUACGAAAGGAUCAGAUAUUUAAAAUAGUUUUAUUUAAUUGAAUAUUAGUAAAUGAAAUAAUUUAACUAUUUUGACAGAAAAAAUGUGAU
rnacentral:rRNA from 1 species